AAUAAAGGGAUACCAUGUGUGUGUGUGCACAGAGAAGACUGUAUGAGAACACAGAGAGAAGGUAGCCAUCUGCAAGCCAAGGAGAGAACCAAUCCUACUGGCAACUUGAUCUUCAGUUCCAGCCUUCAGAACUGGAGCAAGAAUUUCUGUCCCUUUCAAGGCCUUUCUAGCCAGACUAAGAAUCAAAUUGAUCAGAGACUGAUUAGUAGGAGGAAAUCAGAUUUAAUAGCAUAUAUAUGGUGAAUCCACACAGACAGUGAAGCAAAUAAGGUAUCUCAGAGAGCCCCUGUGACACCUUGGCACACAGUUUGGGAACCACAGACUCAUGGAACAAAUUUUAUGUGAAUGGGCAAAAGGAUGGAAAAAAAAAAGAAUCUCAAAGAGGAGAGA